CCUACGGGUCGCAGCAGUGGGGAAUAUUGCACAAUGGGCGCAAGCCUGAUGCAGCCAUGCCGCGUGUAUGAAGAAGGACCUAGGGUUGUAAAGUACUUUCAGUCGGGAGGAAGGCGUUGAUGCUAAUAUCAUCAGCGAUUGACGUUACCGACAGAAGAUGCACCGGCUAACUCCGUGCCAGCAGCCGCGGUAAUACGGAGGGUGCAAGCGUUAAUCGGAAUUACUGGGCGUAAAGCGCACGCAGGCGGUUGAUCAGUUAGAUGUGAAAUCCCCGGGCUAAACCUGGGAAUGGCAUCUAAGACUGGUCAGCUAGAGUCUUGUAGAGGGGGGUAGAAUUCCAUGUGUAGCGGUGAAAUGCGUAGAGAUGUGGAGGAAUACCGGUGGCGAAGGCGGCCCCCUGGACAAAGACUGACGCUCAGGUGCCAAAGCGUGGGGAGCAAACAGGAUUAGAUACCCCAGUAGUC
rnacentral:rRNA from 1 species